GCUGCCGCCGGCCGGCCGGGCGGGGGUCUCCCGGCUCCUCCGCGGCGCUGAGCGGGUGCGUGUCCCUCGCUCGUCCGGUUUGGGUCGCUUUGAGUGAAGAUGAAGCGGGUGUGGAGAAGCGGCAAGGCCCGUUCUCUUUCCUCGUCCUCCCGCUCACCACCAAGUGGCCCCUAAGAGGCAGAAGCUCCCAGAUGCCUCCCUUGAUGUGCGUGACAAAAUGGGGCUUUCAUCCUGCGAGGCCGGGUGUUCCUUCGUCUUUCCCAUUCCAUGACAUUCGUGAGCCGACCCUGCCCCGCGGACACCGCGGUGGAUGACAGCCCCAGCGUCCCUGCUGCGGAGCUCGGGUCCCCUGGGGGACGUAGACGCUUCACCAUCACCAGGACCAUGUCAACUGAAACAUCAACUGGGCCAGCUGAGAUUACCAGAAAGUGAGUCUCAGAAGGUGAAGAGCUGGAAAGAUUUGAGAGAAGUCACUAAGGAUACUGCACACCCAAGCAACAACUCUGUACCAUCGCGUGUGUAUAUAUGUAUUAAGUAUAUUACAAAAUACAGGAUUGAUUUACA